rnacentral:rRNA from 1 species
AUAUUGGUCAAUGGGCGAGAGCCUGAACCAGCCAAGUAGCGUGAAGGAAGAAGGCUUUCGGGUUGUAAACUUCUUUUCUCAGGGACGAAGAAAAUGACGGUACCUGAGGAAUAAGCCACGGCUAACUACGUGCCAGCAGCCGCGGUAAUACGUAGGUGGCAAGCGUUAUCCGGAUUUACUGGGUGUAAAGGGCGUGUAGGCGGGCUUGCAAGUCAGAUGUGAAAACUAUGGGCUCAACCCAUAGCCUGCAUUUGAAACUGUAGGUCUUGAGUGCUGGAGAGGCAAUCGGAAUUCCGUGUGUAGCGGUGAAAUGCGUAGAUAUACGGAGGAACACCAGUGGCGAAGGCGGAUUGCUGGACAGUAACUGACGCUGAGGCGCGAAAGCGUGGGGAGCAAACA